ACAAGCCCUUUGUAGAAAACUAAAUCAGAAGGCUUUGGCUGGAAUUGGAAUAAAAAGCUGACAACAUUAUUUUUUGUGGAUUAAAAAACUCAAGUUUGCUCCGAUUGUUUUAUUUUAUGAAUUUCACCGCACAGCAAAACCCUAGAUUCGUUCUCCCCUUCUCCCGCCAACCUCCUCCCACCUCUUCUCUUUCCCGUUCGCGCCUCACCCACCCUUGGCCAUUCCGAGUAAAUAUGAUGACCCCCCCUUUGAAAAUGCAAAAGGAUCUGACGAUCCUCAUUUUUACAACAAAAAUUUUGAGAUCUGAGUAUGAGUUUCGAUCUGGGAAUUUAAGCUUCGAUUUUGUUCCUGCGAUUUCUGACGUCGAUUUAAGAUCGCAUCCAGUUUCUUGGUUCUAUGAGGUUUGCUUAGGUUAGUGAUGCUCGACAUUUCGUCAGGUGUUGCAACUGGUAAUUUUUCAGGGAAAUGCCUCAGGGAUCGACUUGCAGAAUUUCUCCUUCAGGUCGAUCGUGCAGAAUGUGGCGUCUUGAUUGCUUGAAGUGAUGAGGCUCGUUUAACCUGUACCUGUUUUCAUUGAUCUGGAAGAUGUGCUGCUUGUUUCAGUCACCAAUUCAAGAGCAUAUCUUUCAUCUUCAGGACUGCAUAGGAAUUCCAUCUGUUUGGGCUCCCGCUGUUCAUAUUAAUUUACAGGUAAUUGCCCGACGAUACCUUAAGAGGAAGGAAUGAAGACAGGCAAGAACGGCAAACCGCUGGCCCGCGCAUCGCGCACUCUAGCGCCCGAUUCAGUACAGAGCUCAGCAGGCUGCUGCUCAACUCACCUCCUCCUCGAGAUCUCGCCUCUUCUGAUGCUCCCUUCUCCUCUGCAUCAGG